rnacentral:tRNA from 1 species
GCGGCACUAGCUCAGUUGAUUGAGCGCAACCUUGCCAAGGUUGAGGUCACGCCUUUCUGUUUAUGAAUAGGGAACCUCGUGUGUCGCUCCA